rnacentral:rRNA from 1 species
GAUGAACGCUGGCGGCGUGCCUAAUACAUGCAAGUCGAGCGAACAGACGAGGAGCUUGCUCCUCUGACGUUAGCGGCGGACGGGUGAGUAACACGUGGAUAACCUACCUAUAAGACUGGGAUAACUUCGGGAAACCGGAGCUAAUACCGGAUAAUAUAUUGAACCGCAUGGUUCAAUAGUGAAAGACGGUUUUGCUGUCACUUAUAGAUGUAUCCGCGCCGCAUUAGCUAGUUGGUAAGGUAACGGCUUACCAAGGCAACGAUGCGUAGCCGACCUGAGAGGGUGAUCGGCCACACUGGAACUGAGACACGGUCCAGACUCCUACGGGAGGCAGCAGUAGGGAAUCUUCCGCAAUGGGCGAAAGCCUGACGGAGCAACGCCGCGUGAGUGAUGAAGGUCUUCGGAUCGUAAAACUCUGUUAUUAGGGAAGAACAAAUGUGUAAGUAACUAUGCACGUCUUGACGGUACAUAAUCAGAAAGCCACGGCUAACUACGUG